CCCUCGGCUCAGCGCUGCGGGGCUCGGGAGUGUCCCCUGGCGGCGCGUCCCGCAGGCACAGGGCGGUCUGCAGCGCUGCGAGCUGCUCAGUGCUUGUCGUAGAAUCAUCGAACCAUGGAAUAUCCCGAGUUAGAAGGGGCCCACAAGGAUCAUCGAGUCCAACCCCUGGCUCCACACAGCACCACCCAAACCCAAACGCUUCCUGAGCUCCAGCAGCUCGGACCUUCGCCCACGGCCCUGCGGAGUGCGUUUCAUUCCCAUCGCCCUCUGCUGCAGAGCCUUUCUCUAACCACCACCCGACCCUCUUCUGACGUAGCUCCACGCCGUUCCCUCGGGCAUAGAGAGCAGGGCUGAGCGCUGCCCCUUUGCUCCCUGUGAGGAGCUGCAGGGCCUUGAGGCCUCCCCUCGGCCUGCUCUGCUCAGGGCCCUCAGCAGCUCCUCAAACAUCUUGUCCUCCAGACCCUUUCUCAUCUUUGUAGCCUUCCUUUGGAUUUAUUAAUAGUUUUACACCCUUCUUAUGCUGUGGCACCCAAAACUGCACUCAGUGCUUGAGGUGAGGCCACACCAGCACAGAGCAGAGUGGGACAGUCCCUGUCCUCACCCAUCUGGCAGUGCUGGACUUACUUAGUGCAUCUUAGGGUAUGGUCGAUUUCUAUUGUGCUCUGCUGACUACUUAGCUUUAUUUUGUAAAGUAGGUGGGCUGAAAACUCUUGAAAGCAAAGCCACUGUCAAACGUUACAGGAAGAGUUAACCAACUUUUGCCACGAGAUUUUUUGUAACAAUAAGCUGCAUCCAUGGAGGCUUGUAACUCAGCUUGCAUGCGCCCACAUCACAGGGCCCUGUGGGAGCAGCUUUUGCCACGAGAGCUAAGAUUACAGAGCAGCUUCCAUCCCAGCCCCGUGGUUCCCCACGCACAGCACACAUGCAUAUUUCCAAAAUACUCCAUUUGGGGCAAUGAGUGUUUUUUAUGGAGUUACUCCAUGCCAGAACAUUCUGCAAAAUCUCUUGAGCUUUUGGGGAGUUACGAGAGGAUAGCAAGAAUGCCCUUCCUAUCAAUCAAAAAUCCCAACCACUGUUUAUUUCAGUGAGAAACAAAUAAAGCUACUGCGAGUCCUGAGCUUCAUUUCCUGCUAAAGUAUCCAGGUGCACUGCUGAGCUGCUGGUCUGUCUUGAAGGCUGCAGUUUCAGUGAGGCAAAUCCAUUAUCCAGAUACAUAUGCUCUCUGCAGAUGAUCCUGAAUCCAGCAAAAUCAAGGGGAGACCACACGUGAAGAUCAGGCACACCAGCUGCUCCACGCAGGCACGACUUUGUUGAGUGAGACCACAUAACCACAUUACUUCACACCAGGAGAAACAAUGUACUGAAGUUGAUUUUAAGUGAUCUCUUAAAAUUGACUCAAUCUCUCAGUUCACAGUAGUCCAAGUACUUGAAAUAUGUCAGUAGAUUCAUUGCUAAUAUUAUGUUAAUUUGUGCUCCCAGGUACGUUGAAGGAAUUUCUAGUAAUAUGACUAGGAGUAAUGAACAAGCAUAGAGAGAACUGAUUUUAAGAGAACUUACUUAUGCUCUAAAAAUAUGUUACCAUCAUCUCAAAGCUGUCUUUUUGCUUUCUUGUCACAGACACUUUCUAUUUUCCUUCAGUCAUUUCCCAAACUGCAUACAAGCAUUUUAAGUCCUUGUGCAACUUGGAGUUUUAACACACUUUUGCCUAAUUUCAAGAAUUAUGGGGAAUGUUUGCUGUACAUGUGAUUUUUGUUUGAGCUAUCCUGUCAAAGACACACAUGCUGGUCUUCAUCCCUUUUGUUACAAAAUACAAUCAAUGCAGUGUGUAUGUGUUUAUCUAUACAUCACACUCUCCAGUCUGCGUGACAUAUUUGUGGUCUGUUUUUCUAAAAUCAUAAUUGUGACUAUGUAAGCCUUCCAAUCCUGCACUUGGAAAGUCUCCCAGAUUUCUUCCUGAUUCCCAUUGAGAACUCCUGUGCACCAGCAGUAUUUUGAGAAUUAAAAAAUAUAUAUAUAGGUAAUUAUGUACUUAGCUAUCUUAUGUCACUAAAUCACAUGCUGAUAAGUAGCUGCCAAAUUUUAGCCCUGUAUUCUUGGUUUUCUCCAGCACUGGGAGCCUUGCAUGUGUCAGAGGGAUUAUUGGCACUUUCCCAGGGAGGUGCCAGCUGUGCUUGAACCAGCUGUGCUUCUCACUUCUGCCUCUGUAUCACUGCCUGUGUCUUUAGGCACAGUCAUUGAUGGUGAAUAUGUGCUUUAAUUUGAACUUCAGCAGUUUAAGUUCAAUUAUGGCUUUACUUACUUUUGACUUUUAGGACAAAAUUACUUCUUCAAAAGUUGCUGCUUGAUUAAACUGUCUGUGUUCAAUCAUUACCAAUGCUUUUGUCUUACAAUUUAUUUUCUCAAUUGAUAAUUACAGAACAAAUGAUAUUUAAUCAUGGUGUGUUUAUACUAGAUAUAUACAUAGUAAUACAUUCUUAUAUCUGUGUCUCAUAUAGUUUUGUGCACAAUGUAAAUAGCACAUAUUUUCUAAACAACACUUAUGCUUCAACAGCCUAAAUCUCCAUUCAUCCCACAAAUAAAUUUCUCCAAACCUUCAACCCAGAAAGCUAAACACUUGGUUGAAGUGGUGAACCCCUAACUUAAUGACGUGGUCUGUGCUGACGUCACUGGGUAUGACAGUAAAUCCACAGCAUAAAACACAGCCAACAUAAUGUCACCACAUCAAGUCUUAAGAUAAACUAAACCCUUUUCCAUUAAAAAAAAAAGUUUGUUUUCAUAGUUGGAGAAUUUUGCAGAAAUUUGAUUGUAUAAACAAAAUUGCCAAUUGAGAAUAACCUACACUGUUCAUUUUAUUUCUUUUUAAUAUGACAUAUUUCAAUAAAAGAUAUAUUCCAUCAUUAUAAUUACUGUUAUUUGACUUUUAAUCCGUACUACUGAUUAUACCUUUUUAACACUGUAAUAUACAAUGACGAAGGACAUUCCCUGGGUUAAAGUGACAACAUUUUCUAGCUUCCUGUCUAAUGUUGACAACAAAGUUCCAGUUUACUUUUCUCCCUUUCAAUAUUUUAUAUUUUAUUUUUUAUUUCAGAAUAACCAAUGAAUUGUAAAUUCUGAUUUCUGUUCAAGACAAAAUCUGAAGAAUUUAUAAUUUAUAUUUAUUUAUGUA
ensembl:lncRNA